CUUAAUGUUUUGCAGCUGACUUGUCUCCAGCUCCUCCUCGUCUUCCCUAGAUGGUACAGCUGUAGAGGCCCGAUUCUCUGGGCAUCUCGAUACUGAUCAGCCUUCAUGACUUCGUGGCAGACACAUCUGGCCUUUUUGAAGGAGUAAACCCAGGUCUCAAAUAUCUCUGCAUCCCAAAGUGGAAUAAAAGCCCUCAGCAGAGUGAAAUUGUGGUUCUUAAAUUUUCCAUCUCAAGCACUGAACUGGUCUUCUCAAGUCUGUCCUAAUUGGCACAAUUCAAUCCAGUAAACAUUCUUUAAGUAUCACAGUGGGAAUGAAGAAGACACUUUUGCUUGAAGCAAGAAUCGAAUAGUAGAAUUGCUGGUGAGUACAGUCCUACAAAAAUGUCGGAGGUAGAGAGAAAAGAGGACAAUUUC
rnacentral:lncRNA from 1 species